rnacentral:rRNA from 1 species
UACAGAGGGGGCAAGCGUUGUUCGGAAUUACUGGGCGUAAAGGGCUCGUAGGCGGCCAACUAAGUCAUACGUGAAAUCCCUCGGCUUAACCGGGGAACUGCGUCUGAUACUGGAUGGCUUGAGUUCGGGAGAGGGAUGGCGGAAUUCCAGGAUGUAGCGGGUGAAAUGACGUAGAUAUCUGGAGGAACACCGGGUGGCGAAGGCGGCAUCCUGGACCGAGUACUGACGCUGAGGAGCGAAAGCCAGGGGAGCAAAGCGGG